UAAAAGUUGAGAAUUGAAUUUUGGAUGGUAUUUUGUGGUCUUAAGCUAUUAAAUAAGCGGUUAGAAUUGAAAGUUGUGGAGGUGGGUUUGAACUGAAGGGUGUAAAUGCCCUAUUUCUUACAAAUGUUCAGAAUUGAAGUUCUGGAGUCAUGGGUGGACUUGGGAAUUUGCAACUCAGUACAAUGUGAUUGGAAAAUAUGAAGAGAUUUUCAUGCGCUCUAGUAUCUAUUAUCUUGUUUCCAUUCAAUUUGUGAUGCAUCCAUAUAUUACCUUUCAUGUAGAAAGCAUGUUUCACUGAUUACAUAAUAAUUUUUUGGCAUUUCGAUUGUAAAUAUAUCCAUGCCUUAGAUUAUGAUAUCUAUUGCCUAAAUGAGUUGAAACGAUGCAAGACCUUAAAUUAGUGGGGAUUUAUUUUUUACUGAAUAAAUGUUAAAUCUUAUUAACAUGAAUUUGAACAAUAUUGUUUUAUUUUGAGGAAGAUUCAAUUUGAAUAUUUAUUAUUUAGGUGAAAUUCCAUGGGUGGGAUUGAUGUUGAAGCACUCCAGAUUGGACGAAAUCAGGAUAAUUUUGAGUCAUGUAACUAAAUAUUUAACUUUGGGGAUGUUUGGAUACGAAUUUAAGAUUUUUUGUGAUAUUUCUAAAUAUGUUAAUUGUGGGAUGCUUGGAUAAGAAUUUAGGACUUUUUAUGAUU